UACGGAGGGUGCGAGCGUUGUCCGGAAUCACUGGGCGUAAAGAGCGUGUAGGCGGCCUGAAAGGUCAGCUGUGAAAACUCGAGGCUCAACCUCGAGACGUCGGUUGAAACCAUCUGGCUAGAGUCCGGAAGAGGAGUGUGGAAUUCCCGGUGUAGCGGUGAAAUGCGCAGAUAUCGGGAAGAACACCCGUGGCGAAGGCGGCACGCUGGGACGGUACUGACGCUGAGACGCGAAAGCUAGGGGAGCAAACAGG
rnacentral:rRNA from 1 species